rnacentral:rRNA from 1 species
UACGAAGGGGGACGAGCGUUGUUCGGAUUUACUGGGCGUAAAGGGCGCGCAGGCGGCGGACCAAGUCAGGCGUGAAAGCCCCGGGCUUAACCUGGGAGGUGCGUCUGGGACUGGUUUGCUAGAGUUCGGGAGAGGAGAGUGGAAUUCCCAGUGUAGAGGUGAAAUUCGUAGAUAUUGGGAAGAACACCGGUGGCGAAGGCGGCUCUCUGGACCGAGACUGACGCUGAGGCGCGAAAGCGUGGGGAGCAAACGGG